UACGGAGGGAGCUAGCGUUGUUCGGAAUUACUGGGCGUAAAGCGCGCGUAGGCGGCUUUGUAAGUUAGAGGUGAAAGCCCGGGGCUCAACCCCGGAACUGCCUUUAAGACUGCAUCGCUUGAAUCCGGGAGAGGUGAGUGGAAUUCCGAGUGUAGAGGUGAAAUUCGUAGAUAUUCGGAAGAACACCAGUGGCGAAGGCGGCUCACUGGACCGGUAUUGACGCUGAGGUGCGAAAGCGUGGGGAGCAAAUAGG
rnacentral:rRNA from 1 species